rnacentral:rRNA from 1 species
GACGAACGCUGGCGGCGUGCUUAACACAUGCCAGUCGAACGGAAAGGCCCUGCUUUUGUGGGGUGCUCGAGUGGCGAACGGGUGAGUAACACGUGAGUAACCUGCCCUUGACUUUGGGAUAACUUCAGGAAACUGGGGCUAAUACCGGAUAGGAGCUCCUGCUGCAUGGUGGGGGUUGGAAAGUUUCGGCGGUUGGGGAUGGACUCGCGGCUUAUCAGCUUGUUGGUGGGGUAGUGGCUUACCAAGGCUUUGACGGGUAGCCGGCCUGGGAGGGUGACCGGCCACAUUGGGACUGGGAUACGGCCCAGACUCCUACGGGAGGCAGCAGUGGGGAAUAGUGCACAAUGGGCGGAAGCCUGAUGCAGCAACGCCGCGUGCGGGAUGACGGCCUUCGGGUUGUAAACCGCUUUCGCCUGUGACGAAGCGUGAGUGACGGUAAUGGGUAAAGAAGCACCGGCUAACUACGUG